CUUCCGAUGGGGUGACCUGCGGAAGGAUCAUUAUCGAGUUUUGAACGGGUUGUCUGCUGGCUCGCAAGGGCAUGUGCACGCCUGUCUCAUCCACUCUCAACUUCUGUGCACUUUUCAUAGGCCGGCUUGUGGGUGCGUUCGCGCACUUGUAGGUGUCGGGCUUAUGCUUUAUUACAAACGAUUCAGUUUUAGAAUGUCAUACUUUGCUAUAACGCAAUUUAUAUACAACUUUCAGCAACGGAUCUCUUGGCUCUCGCAUCGAUGAAGAACGCAGCGAAAUGCGAUAAGUAAUGUGAAUUGCAGAAUUCAGUGAAUCAUCGAAUCUUUGAACGCACCUUGCGCUCCUUGGUAUUCCGAGGAGCAUGCCUGUUUGAGUCUCAUGGAAUUCUCAACCUUCGGCUUCAUUGACGAAGGCUUGGACUUGGAGGUCGUGCCGGCUCUCGUAGUCGGCUCCUCUGAAAUGCAUUAGUGCGAACGUUACCGACCGCUUCAGCGUGAUAAUUAUCUGCGUUGCUGUGGAGGGUAUUCUAGUGUUCACGCUUCUAACCGUCUUCGGACAAAUUUCUGAACUCUGAGCUCAAAUCAGGUAGACACCACUCAG
rnacentral:rRNA from 1 species